CUGCAUAUGACAUGUUGGAGUCCUGUAGGUGAAGUCAGACGUAUACAGUAUGAAAAGAAAAGGGGAGAGAACAGUUCCCUAGGGAGUGCCGAUGCUCGUUUGCGCAGUUCCAGAAACUGCCUGCCCCAGCCUGACAUACUGUGGCCUCUGUGUCAAGUAGCUGUUGAUCCAGGAGAUAAAUACCUGCUCCACACCCAACUUCUCAAGCUUAUCCCUCAGAAUAGAGGGAUGGAUGGUAUUAAAUGCACUUGAGAAGUCGAAGAACAUAAGCCUCACAUACCCCCCCAAACCGUCAAGAAAGGAGAGUGCCCUGUGCAGCAUGAACAGUAUGGCGUCCUCCACACCCAUGUGCGCUCGACAGGCAAACUACAGAGGAUCUAAGGCACAC